GACGAACGCUGGCGGCGUGCUUAACACAUGCAAGUCGAACGGAAAGGCCCUGCUUUUGUGGGGUGCUCGAGUGGCGAACGGGUGUGUAACACGUGAGUAACCUGCCCUUGACUUUGGGAUAACUUCAGGAAACUGGGGCUAAUACCGGAUAGGAGCUCCUGCUGCAUGGUGGGGGUUGGAAAGUUUCGGCGGUUGGGGAUGGACUCGCGGCUUAUCAGCUUGUUGGUGGGGUAGUGGCUUACCAAGGCAUUGACGGGUAGCCGGCCUGAGAGGGUGACCGGCCACAUUGGGACUGAGAUACGGCCCAGACUCCUACGGGAGGCAGCAGUGGGGAAUAUUGCACAAUGGGCGGAAGCCUGAUGCAGCAACGCCGCGUGCGGGAUGACGGCCUUCGGGUUGUAAACCGCUUUCGCCUGUGACGAAGCGUGAGUGACGGUAAUGGGUAAAGAAGCACCGGCUAACUACGUG
rnacentral:rRNA from 1 species